AUUGAACGCUGGCGGAAUGCUUUACACAUGCAAGUCGAACGGUAGAGGGGGGCAACCCCCUUGAGAGUGGCGAACGGGUGAGUAAUAUAUCGGAACGUGCCCAGUCGUGGGGAUAACGUAGCGAAAGUUACGCUAAUACCGCAUACGAUCUACGGAUGAAAGCGGGGGACUCGCAAGAGCCUCGCGCGAUUGGAGCGGCCGAUAUCAGAUUAGGUAGUUGGUGGGGUAAAGGCUCACCAAGCCAACGAUCUGUAGCUGGUCUGAGAGGACGACCAGCCACACUGGAACUGAGACACGGUCCAGACUCCUACGGGAGGCAGCAGUGGGGAAUUUUGGACAAUGGACGCAAGUCUGAUCCAGCCAUUCCGCGUGCAGGAUGAAGGCCCUCGGGUUGUAAACUGCUUUUGUACGGAACGAAACGGUGAGCUCUAAUACAGUUUGCUAAUGACGGUACCGUAAGAAUAAGCACCGGCUAACUACGUGCCAGCAGCCGCGGUAAAGUG
rnacentral:rRNA from 1 species